AAUGACCUUCGUGGCCGCACAGUUCUUCAGACAGAUGGCCAACUUAAAACUGGAAGAGAUGUGGCCAUUGCUGCACUUCUUGGUGCAGAAGAAUUUGGCUUCAGCACUGCACCCCUCAUAACUCUUGGCUGCAUCAUGAUGCGAAAAUGCCACAAGAAUACUUGUCCUGUUGGCAUUGCCACUCAAGAUCCAGUUCUGAGGGAAAA
rnacentral:misc_RNA from 1 species